rnacentral:ribozyme from 13 species
GAUUUUUCUUUCUUUUCUUUCUUUUCCUUUUUCUCCUUUUUCUCUUUUUUUUC